CCUACGGGUGGCAGCAGUGGGGAAUAUUGGGCAAUGGGCGCAAGCCUGACCCAGCAACGCCGCGUGAAGGAAGAAGGCUUUCGGGUUGUAAACUUCUUUUGUCAGGGAAGAGGAGAAGACGGUACCUGACGAAUAAGCCACGGCUAACUACGUGCCAGCAGCCGCGGUAAUACGUAGGUGGCAAGCGUUGUCCGGAUUUACUGGGUGUAAAGGGCGUGUAGCCGGGUUGACAAGUCAGAUGUGAAAUCCUGCGGCUUAACCGCAGAACUGCAUUUGAAACUGUUGAUCUUGAGUGUCGGAGAGGUAAUCGGAAUUCCUUGUGUAGCGGUGAAAUGCGUAGAUAUAAGGAAGAACACCAGUGGCGAAGGCGGAUUACUGGACGAUACCUGACGGUGAGGCGCGAAAGCGUGGGGAGCAAACAGGAUUAGAUACCCCAGUAGUC
rnacentral:rRNA from 1 species